UACGAAGGGGGCUAGCGUUACUCGGAAUUAUUGGGCGUAAAGCGUGCGUAGGUGGCCUGGAAAGUUAGAAGUGAAAUCCUUGAGCUCAACUCAAGAACUGCUCCUAAAACUUCCAGACUAGAGUGCCAGAGAAGAUAGCGGAAUUCCUAGUGUAGAGGUGAAAUUCGUAGAUAUUAGGAGGAACACCAGAGGCGAAAGCGGCUAUCUGGCUGGAUACUGACACUGUUGCACGAAAGCGUGGGGAGCAAACAGG
rnacentral:rRNA from 1 species